GACAAACGGGUCAAGUUAAGAUUUAUUGGUAUAAAAGGAGGUUAUGUUAAUAGGAAAAAUGAGGAAAUAUGUUUUAGUGUAGGGGUAUAAUUUGUGCAUUAAUUCGUUAUUUGUUGUCUUCGUUUAUCUGACGCCUCGAAAUUUUAGUGAAAGACCGGGAUUAGAUACCCCGUUAUUUAAAAUGUAAAGCGUAGUUGUGUAGAUGAUUUACCUGAGUACUACGGGCUUAAAAAUGGAAGUGUUUUUAAGAAAGCUUAAAACUCAAAAAACUUGGCGGUGCCUCAAUACCUUCCAGGGGAACCUGUCCUGUAAUCGAUAAUCCACGAUUAAACUUACUUUUUGUUGUAUAAAGACAGUUUGUAUACCGUCGUCGUCAGAUUACCUUUAAGAGAAUAAAAGUUGUCGGUAAAACGAGCUGUGUAGAGGGUCGUCUUAAGUGACGAGCCGAAAUAGUUUUUUUGAUGUCAGAUCAAGGUGCAGCUUAUCAUAAAGUAGAGAUGGGUUACAAUGCGGAAUCGUAUAGGUGGAGUUAGAGUUGUAACACUUUAAUGAAAUUGGACUUGGGAGUAAUAAAUGUAUAAAAUAAAGAGUGACAUGAAAACGGUACUGAGGUGCGU
rnacentral:rRNA from 1 species